AACGAACGCUGGCGGCGUGCCUAACACAUGCGAGUCGUACCUGAAAGUCAUUCGGGAUGAGUAAAGUGGCGCACGGGUGAGUAACACGUAGGUGCCCUGCCUUUGAGAGGGGAAUAACCAGAAGAAAUUUUGGCUAAUGCCGCAUACGAAACACGGCUGUAAGUCUGUGUUUGAAAGAAUGCCUCUGCAUAUGCAUUCACUAAAAGAUGGGCCUGCGGAACAUUAGCUAGUUGGUGGGGUAAAGGCCUACCAAGGCAACGAUGGUUAUCCGGUCUGGGAGGCUGAUGGGACACACUGGAACUGAGACACGGUCCCGACUCCUACGGGAGGCAGCAGGGGGGAAUAAUGCGCCAUGAGGGAAACCCUGACGCAGCAACGCCGCGUGAGUGAGGAAGGACUUCGGUCUGUAAAGCUCUGUUAAUGUGGAAAAAUGGUAUGUGGUCUAAUUGGCCAUGUAUUUGAUGGUACACAUAGAGGAAGCACCGGCUAACUUCGUGCCAGCCGCCGCCGUAA
rnacentral:rRNA from 1 species